UUUGUUCAGUGCUGUCCUGCUGUGGUUGGCAAAAUAUGUCCAAGAGGGUUUGGUCCAGUGAUUUUGGACAAUGUAUGAGGCUGCAUUUAAAUCUGAAGCAGGGAGGAUGGAGAUCCUUCACUGAAGAAAGAACUAUGGGGCAACGGCGAGUAGAGAGGAACAGCGGAUGCGUGCGAAGACUUGCAGAGCUCACCCUUCUCAAAGGAAUGCAAGGAGGAGGCACUAUCUAGUUAGAGAAGUAGUCCCUCUCCCAGGAGCCUCUACCAGGAAUGCCAUGGCCACUUUUAAUAGAAACACCCAGAGCUGGCCUUUGGCCGUGUUCCUGUCGGCCCUGGGAGAGGAAAAGGGGCUCGGGGCCAGUAAACUGUGGUGCGUUCUAUUACUGUUGUUAGCAUGACCUUCAGAGUAGCAACAAGGUACUAGAGUGUCGUUUAGAAAUGGAAGACACAGUCUCUAUUUCAGUCCACAGUGUAAAACAGUUCCAAGGUCACACAUAAAUUAAUCUAACAGUUCUCUGUAUUCAUUUUACACACUUAGCAUUGUACCCUGUACACAAGGCCUUUGGCAAAGGUUGUGGCUGAUGAUUGAAGGAGAAAGGGAGGGGGAGGAGGGGAGGAGGAGAAGGAGAAGAAGAAAGAAAAGGAGAAAAGGAUCAAGAAGAACUGAGGGAGAAAAGGAGGUAGAGAAAGAGGAGAAGGAAGAGAAGCAGAGGGAGGAGGAGAGUUUGGUGUUGAGGCCUUGGAAUGGUUGGUGUAGUCUUUUCUGCAGAAAGGGGUAAAUUAAAUGAUCUAUACUAUUCCUUAUAGCCUGUGACAAACUAC
rnacentral:lncRNA from 1 species